ACCUGGCUGGCUCAGUUGGUAGAGCAUGCGACUUUCGAUCUUAGGGUCGUGAGUUCAAGUCCCACAUUGGGUG
rnacentral:tRNA from 1 species